GGAUGUCAGGGUGACUUGGCUGUGACAUCUGUCCCCCUACUGACAGCCAGGGUGAGCUGGCUGACCUGGCUGGCUAGGUGGUGUCCCUUUCCUCCCUCCCCGCUCCAUGUCCAUCCCUCCCGAAGCUGCACACUCUGUGGAAGAGGAUCCCCCCCCCCCCACAGGAGGCGCGUUUCCCCCUUUGCUGGAACCUCCAAACAAGCUCUCAGGGCUGUCCUCUAAGAAUGGCCCUACACUGCAGCCCACAAGUUUCUUUAUUAUUUUAACUUUUAAUCAGUUCAAAAUAUUUUCUAAUUUUCAUU
rnacentral:snRNA from 1 species